rnacentral:rRNA from 1 species
UACGUAGGGUGCGAGCGUUAAUCGGAAUUACUGGGCGUAAAGCGUGCGCAGGCGGUUUUGUAAGCCAGAUGUGAAAUCCCCGGGCUUAACCUGGGAAUGGCAUUUGGGACUGCAUCGCUGGAGUACGGCAGAGGGGGAUGGAAUUCCGCGUGUAGCAGUGAAAUGCGUAGAUAUGCGGAGGAACACCGAUGGCGAAGGCAAUCCCCUGGGCCUGUACUGACGCUCAUGCACGAAAGCGUGGGGAGCAAACAGG